UUUAACCUUCUGUGGUGUAGUGGUAGCGCCUUGACUUAGUAAUCAAAAGUCCUAGGUUCGAGUCCCGGUCGGGUUAAAA